rnacentral:rRNA from 2 species
AGUGGCAGACGGGUGAGUAAUGUAUAGGAAUCUACCUAGUAGUACGGAAUAAUUGUUGGAAACGGCAACUAAUACCGUAUACGCCCUACGGGGGAAAAAUUUAUUGCUAUUAGAUGAGCCUAUAUUAGAUUAGUUAGUUGGUGAGGUAAAGGCUUACCAAGACAAUGAUCUAUAGCUGAUCUGAGAGGAUGAUCAGCCACACUGGAACUGAGAUACGGUCCAGACUCCUACGGGAGGCAGCAGUGGGGAAUAUUGGACAAUGGGCGAAAGCCUGAUCCAGCCAUGCCGCAUGAGUGAAGAAGGCCUUCGGGUUGUAAAGCUCUUUUAGUGAGGAAGAUAAUGACGGUACUCACAGAAGAAGUCCUGGCUAACUCCGUGCCAGCAGCCGCGGUAAUACGGAGAGGGCUAGCGUUAUUCGGAAUCAUUGGGCGUAAAGGGCGCGUAGGCGGGUUAGUAAGUUAAAAGUGAAAUCCCAAGGCUCAACCUUGGAACUGCUUUUAAAACUGCUAGUCUAGAGAUUGAAAGAGGAUAGAGGAAUUCCUAGUGUAGAGAUGAAAUUCGUAAAUAUUAGGAGGAACACCAGUGGCGAANGCGUCUAUCUGGUUCAAAUCUGACGCUGAGGCGCGAANGCGUGGGGAGCAAACAGGAUUAGAUACCCUGGUAGUCCACGCUGUAAACGAUGAAUGUUAAAUAUGGGAAGUUUACUUUCUGUAUUAUAGCUAACGCGUUAAACAUUCCGCCUGGGGACUA